rnacentral:lncRNA from 1 species
AUUUGCCCUGACCUUUUGACUGCCUGGGUGAACAGAAUGUGUCAAAGUGACACUGCAUGGCUUUUGAGUCUAGGAUCUAAAAGCCCACCCAGCUUAUGCUUAUUUCUCGUGGAAACACACUUUGAGAAUCUUCAGCUGGCAAGUACCAUUUGAGUAAAGAAACCCUGAAGAAGAUUCCAGCCCUAGCCAUUGUCUGCCUGCAACUGUGUAAGAGAUCCCAAGCAUGAACUACCUAACUGAGCCCUGUCAACCCUCAGAAUCUUGAGAAAUA